rnacentral:misc_RNA from 1 species
GAUGAAGAACGUAGCGAAAUGCGAUAAGUAAUGUGAAUUGCAGAAUUCAGUGAAUCAUCGAAUCUUUGAACGCACAUUGCGCCCCUUGGUAUUCCGAGGGGCAUGCCUGUUCGAGCGUCAUUAUAACCCCUCAAGCUCAGCUUGGUGUUGGGGCCUGCUGCACUGGCAGCCCUUAAAAUCAGUGGCGGCGCCAUCUGGCUCUAAGCGUAGUAAUUCUUCUCGCUAUGGAGUCCUGGUGUAUGCUUGCCAUCAACCCCCAAUUUUUCUAUGGUUGACCUCGGAUCAGGUAGGGAUACCCGCUGAACUUAAGCAUAUCAAUAAGCGGAGGA